UGCGUGCUGAAAUUCCACCACGUCAUCACGCGACCGGAAGGUCGUGUAGUGCCGGGGGUUAGUCGGAAGUACCCACGGCGAAAUCCGGAACAUCGACAGCCGCCUUGUAUGAUUUUAUCAGUAAGACAAAAUCAAUGGAGGUGUGACUGCUGGGACCCUCGCCGAUACAGAGUUCAGGUACAUUUGGCCACCCCAGAGGCUGUUCAGGCGAGUUAAAUCAUGGAAGUACCUCAUUCUGGUACUCAAGAGCUGGAGGGGACCUCUGGAGUCCCUGGGUGGUUACCCGUAGCAACACAGAAGAAGCAAAGAUGUUAUAGAAUCCAGAUAGACCAACAGAAGUCAAGAAUGAGGAAACUGCCAUUGCCAAUGCUAUUUCAUCUUAUUUGUGUCUUUUGGAGAAGAGUCACUGGAGAUCAUUCAUAUAUGGAAAAGAAAACACUAAAAUGUGGAUUUCUUAUUGGGGAAGCCACCCACCAGGACACAGAGAUCAUCUCCACACUUUUAAAAUGCUCCAGCUCUUCUACAUUGCCUUGUAUUUAAUCAGAUUUAGUGCCGUAAUGGGUCACAUGACCCUUUCUACAUGUAUUUUAACUUGUGUGUUAGGUUGUGAAGCCAGUUUACGAUUAAGCACGUUCAGUGCGAAACACGUUAG